GAUGAACGCUGGCGGCGUGCCUAAUACAUGCAAGUCGAGCGAACUGAUUAGAAGCUUGCUUCUAUGACGUUAGCGGCGGACGGGUGAGUAACACGUGGGCAACCUGCCUGUAAGACUGGGAUAACUUCGGGAAACCGAAGCUAAUACCGGAUAGGAUCUUCUCCUUCAUGGGAGAUGAUUGAAAGAUGGUUUCGGCUAUCACUUACAGAUGGGCCCGCGGUGCAUUAGCUAGUCGGUGAGGUAAUGGCUCACCAAGGCAACGAUGCAUAGCCGACCUGGGGGGGUGAUCGGCCACACUGGGACUGCGACACGGCCCAGACUCCUACGGGAGGCAGCAGUAGGGAAACUUCCGCAAUGGACGAAAGUCUGACGGAGCAACGCCGCGUGAGUGAUGAAGGCUUUCGGGUCGUAAAACUCUGUUGUUAGGGAAGAACAAGUACGAGAGUAACUGCUCGUACCUUGACGGUACCUAACCAGAAAGCCACGGCUAACUACGUGCCAGCCGCCGCGGUAAGAC
rnacentral:rRNA from 1 species